CCCCCUACAGGAGCACUCAGUAGGUCUUCUGUUUCUGACCCAUGAAGCCGUCAAGAAGGGGCAGAGCAAAAACACCACUUUUGGGUGAAGAGGCCACAUGUUGUGUUGUUUUGCUUCAGUCGGUGGGGUGACAAGA
ensembl:snoRNA